UGGGGGAUAUUGCACAAUGGGCGAAAGCCUGAUGCAGCGACGCCGCGUGGGGGAUGAAGGCUUUCGGGUUGUAAACCUCUUUCGCUAUCGAACAAGGCCCGCUUAGGGUGGGUUGAGGGUAGGUGGAGAAGAAGCGCCGGCUAACUACGUGCCAGCAGCCGCGGUAAUACGUAGGGCGCGAGCGUUGUCCGGAAUUAUUGGCGGAAAGGGCUUGUAGGCGGCUUGUUGCGCCUGCUGUGAAAACGCGGGGCUUAACUUCGCGCGUGCAGUGGGUACGGGCAGGCUUGAGUGUGGUAGGGGUGACUGGAAUUCCAGGUGUAGCGGUGGAAUGCGCAGAUAUCUGGAGGAACACCGAUGGCGAAGGCAGGUCACUGGGCCAUUACUGACGCUGAGGAGCGAAAGCAUGGGUAGCGAACAGG
rnacentral:rRNA from 1 species